CAACUGCGCGCAGGCGCACUUCCCGCGCUUGAAUCACGCGCGCCUGAAGGACCAAUAAGAGCCCGCAGGAUCGGCACCUUGACCGGAGAGCUGGGGAAAUCCUAGUUCUUAUCGCAGAGGUGGGGGUGUGGCUGACUGAGGGCGCCUCUACACCAGGUAUCCUGAUACACAUCUCUGCAGGAAAUGGAAUAAACAAAGCCCGCACAGCAAUAGAAGCCAGAUUGCAUGGAGUUCAAAAAAGAGAAAUCAAUUGGUCCUAGAGCAAAUCAAGCCCGAACCCUUCACAGAAGACAAGACGACUAAACUGAAACUGCUGCACUUUGACCAUAUCAUGAGAACACGUGGCGUGCUAGUAAAGACAAUGAUGCUUGGUAAGAUAGAGUGCAGCUGGAAAAGUGAAAGACCAUCAUUACAGACUGAUGGACUCAGACAAGGAAGACAUGUCUCUGAGUCUGUAAGACCUGACUUGUAUUCAUGAAGGUGCUAUAUGUUGACAUUGACUUGACAGCAGUUAACAACAACAACAACAUCUCAGGAGUGCUAUUUGGAUGUCUGGGAAACUCUCUUCGCACACACACUGGGACUUCUGAGAUACAGCCAAAGAACAAUAUUAAUUUAAAUUAACAAUAACUAGCAGCAGCAGCAACAACAACAGUAAAAUCAUAACUAUUUAAGUUCAAGAUUUCCUGUUUCCUUCCAGAAUCCAAAUUUUUAAUGGUAUUGAUGUCUUUUGAGCUCAUUCAUGGUUAACUCAAAGAUGGAUCUGAUGAAUUAAUAACCUUUGUUUCUGCCCCCAAGCUGCAAAAAAAGGGUAAAUGGUAACAAGAAAAGAAAUCAAGAGUAAGUUCUGAUUAUGCCUCCAGAAAUAUUUAAAAUGUUGCAACACCAGAUACAGCUACUAUAGAAAAGUCAGCUGUCAGGAUAGUUCAGAGCCUCCCUUUAUUAUUGAGUAAGACCCUGGGUUUCCCAACAUGCGAAUCCCAAAAGAAGAGCAAGCACUAGGGCUAUACUUCACAUUCUUAUGGGGAAACCAGUCUGAAAUGUGGUUUGAACCAGCAAUGAAGUAAACCUAAUUGGGCAACAUAUUAAAAUAGCAAUUACUUAGAAAGUUGGUACCACCUUUCUAGUGAAUGCGAACAUAUAUUACAAAAGUGCUUGUCAGUUUACAUUUUUCCUGUUUUACAAUAGGAAUGAAAUUUAGAAAAUGGAUUGGAGACAACAUCUGAGAAUGUCUCCAGCAUUUUUUUGUAUGGACCCAGACCCAGUAUGUGUACCCUAGAGAGGGCUACUACUCCUGAGCAGUCAGUCUUCUAUCUAAAUGUGUGCUUCAGAGGACAGCAAACCUAAAGAAUAGUAAUGGUUGACCAUAAUAGUUUAGGUGGAAGUCCUAACACGUUUCUGUCUUGUCCAUGGUGCUAUCGGCAUUAUGUAGGAAAAGGACUCCACCAGGGAGACAGCAAUGGAGAUGCAGCAUCUGUCCACUAUUUGUGUCACCUGUGACUCAGUCUAGAGUGCUCGUGGCUGGUGUUUUGUCAGAGCAUUUUCAUGCAUUUAUUCUUUUCCUCAAAUCUGGUGACAAAAGUUCCAUUUCCCCAUUGCGAUCCUAAAGUUCUGCUCAUCUGCUCCACCCCAUUCAAAAUUUCUCCCUCACAUAGCAUCACUGAAUCAGAGUUGGAAACGACCACAAGGGCCAUCGGUCCAGCCUUUGCCACAUCCAACACCACCAAUGCACCAUUUUACUUUAUAAUGAUUGCUUGGAAUUCUGUUUCUUUGCAGGGAUUGAGGUGUCUACUUCCAGGUUGGAAGGAGCCUCCAGUGGCCUAGGGGAUAAAAGCCUUGUGACUUAAAGGUUGGGUUGCUGACCUGAAGGCUGCCAGGUUUGAAUCCCACCCGGGGAGAGUGCGGAUGAGCUCCCUCUAUCAGCUCCAGCUCCAUGCGGGGACAUGAGAGAAGCCUCGCACAAGGAUGGUAAAACAUCAAAAACAUCUGGGCGUCCCCUGGGCAACGUCCUUGCAGACGGCCAAUUCUCUCACUCCAGAAGCAAUUCAAAAAAAAAAAUCCAGGUUGGAAGCCAACGGCUGCUCUUUGGUUGAGCACUGCUGGUGUUCCAUUCCUUUAAGCCCUCCUCCCAGUUCCUGCAUGACUUUCAUAAUAACAGAUUUCCUGUGGGUGGAAGAACCAAAUCUAGGGGAAGUCUUAUCACUUGAUCUACCCAUAGCCCUUGCCACAUGCUAGAACGUGUGAUGAUGGGGGAAACCCUUCACUAUGCUUUAAUUAAUACAGAUGAACUUGCAUAUGCCUGGUAAGGAAGCCUCCUGACUUGGUCACCUGAGAUGCUUCCAGAAAUGCAUUGCUAUGCCUAAUGACCAUAGUGGAGUUUGUUCCCAAAAGGUUCCAAAUUUUUUUAAAAAUUGAAAAAAUGAGUUUAUAGGUGGAAGCUUGUUGUUAGCUUGGAGAAGAAAAUUAUACACAGAUGAAAACGAUCAAAAUGUAUCAAAUCACUUUGGUACAGGGCUUGGAAAAUUGCAUUUUUAUCAAAAGAAUGCACAUCCUCAGCAAGAUUGUUUCAAUUCCUAUAAAAUGUGUUCAGAUGGAGUUGAUACUUUUUGGAAAUGAAUCCCACAUUUAUCAGUGGGUAGUUACUUUGUCUUUCAUCCAUAAAUGGGCUAUAUUAUUGUCUGAAAGCACCCCCCCCCUUCUGU